CCGAUCGUAAACGAGACACACCUCAGCCGAAUUUUCUCGGCUCAGAUCACGUGCACGACACUAGCGUUAAACCAGGGGGAAACAGCUGCGCGUGGAUCAACCGAAAAGCUCUUGCGUUGUUUGAACUAAACGUUCAAAACUUCCCGGACUGGUUUCAUUUCCGCGGCACUGAAAAAUGAAAGCGAGUGAGAUGUACCUGAGGAUGAAGUAAAAAGAGUUCUUCCAGGAUUCUUUGACUGGUUUAUGAAGAAUAGAGGCAGAAACCUGCAAGAAGAAAAGAUAAGUAGAUGCAGAUUACCAGAUGAAGAUGUUUUCUUGUCACUGAGUCAGAACAUAGAACAGGAACAGACCCUUUGGCCCACAACGUUUUGGCAAACCAAUUCAGUUAGCAUCAAGUGCCCAACUAAACAACACAAUGUCCAUAUCCUUAGAUUUUCCUCAUGCUUAUGUGACUACCUAAACAGCUCUUAAAAGUCCCUAAUGUAUCUGCCUUUGCCACCAGAUCAGGCAGUACAUUACAGGCACCGCCACUCUCCGUGUGGGGAGGGGAAAAAAAACCUUUGCCCUAACAUCUCCUUUGAAAUUAUCCCCUCUCACCUAAAAAAAAUGCAUGCCUUCUCAUAAUAGACAUUCUAACCAUGGAAAAAAGAUGCUGUCUGUUCCAUCUUUGCCGCUCAUAAUCUUAUGAAUCUUUAUCAGAUCUCAACCUCAGCCUCCAGAGAUCCAGAUAAAACACCCAAAGUUUGUCCAACCCCUUGUUAUAGUAUAUAUCCUCUAAUCCAGGCAGCUUCCUGGUAAAUCUUGUAUGCACCUUCUCCAAAGUCUCAACAUUCUUCCUAUAAUGGGGCAACCAGAACUCUAUGCAAUAUUGCAGAUGCAGCCAAACUAGAGUUUUAUAAAGCAAACUAGUUAUCCACUACAGCAAUAGCUUACCUUAAGGCAUUAUCUGGGGGUUACUGCUAGUCUAUUUGUCACAUCAGCAAUAUCUUCUAGCUCUGACCUGGGUCAGAGAAACAUGUAUCCUGUCAUAUUCUAUCUUAGUUCACUAUGGAACCUCACCUAAUAUUCCCUUUCCCCAUCUUACAUCGUCAGUUACCACUGAUGCAGACAUUAUUGCAUCUUUCCACUGUAGCCAUGGAAAUUACUUUCACCUCUCUGUCCUUGAGUCGAUGGAUAGACAGAUCCUUUUGCUGCAAGGGCAUAUGUUAACAUAGAUAAUUGCCCUGGCACAGCCAGUGACAGUAUUGACUGUUUGGUUAAAAUUAUAACCCUCCGCAAUCCUUUUCACAACCAUCACAGCAGUCAGAUAAGCUUCAGGUGGGAGCAUUGACAUAUAUCUGAGCCAAUGGUUUAUUUUCUGAUCACUUUUGUCAUUCAGGUUCCCAUCACUUUGGCCUUGGCAAAGGUUACUAAAGACUUCAGGGCUGUUGUCUGUCUAUUGUAACAUUUCCCAUCAAUUUACCCAUUCUGUUAAGUUUCACUUGUACACAGUUUUCUAUGUCUAAAACUGAUCUUUUUGAAGAUUUUAACAAUGAAUAAUUACCAAAUGGUUUGCUGCUUUAGCUCUGGGUUUUAUACAUUCUAAAUUGAUUUGUAUUAGUUCAACAGAUGCAUGUUGACCAGGGCUAAGAUAACACUUCAAUGAACACCAAAAACUUCUGAGUAACACACUUUGUGAUUGCUCUUCAAAUAUGAAUCUGGAGAGCAAAUACUAACAUACUUUCUGAGUUGGAACUUUUUUAUUCAAACUUCUUGUAUGCAUAUUUUCCUGCAGAGCUGGAGGAAGAACCAUGGGUGACCAUUUCCCUUCUCGCAGUUUGGCCAGUGAGGUGAAUGAACAUCUGCUCUAGUCAAUGGUCUUUUGAUGUGACAAUGACCUCAGGGAAGUAAGUGUCAAGUUCUCCUAGUCUGUGCAACUAAUAUGAAACCUCAUGGCGCAUUCAUCUAUCGGAUAUCUGAGAAAGUGAGACAAUGCCAAACUUCUGGGCACUGAUCUUCUGUAGAUGUCCAACCCAAGCUAACACAUGGAGCAUUCAAUUUUUAUUGGUGGAGCAGAGAUGAGGAGUUCCUUUUGGGUUCCUAACAGUACAAACCAACCUGCAAAAUGCAGAGCUCCUAUAGCAUGGACGAUAUAUCAGCAGUUUUGGAAGUGACUCAAGAAGACGCGUAUGCUUGGGGCAUUGGCCAAAUGUAAACACAUGGAUUGAAGACUCAUCUGUCCACUCCUUUGAAUUUUAGGAUGGAGUAGAAAGAGCAGCAAAAUCCUGUAAAUCUUGACUCUAUCCAAAUUUGCCAACCAACCCAAGGGGAAUCCACAAAACAUGUCCAAUCUCACCCAAGGAAACACUUGCUUUAGCAAAAAAUUGGUGGCUAGUGAUGUGCAAUGUGGUUUUAACCUGUGUGCGUCUACAGUUCAACGAUCUCUUAGAGAAGACAGAAGAAACAAUCUGACAAAGUACUGGUGGUUCAGAAGAAAACUGUUGGUGAGGUCUUCUUUGUGGGACAGCAUGUUCUUGAUUUUGUUCCAGCAUAUUGCAGCAUGGAAGUAGGAAACAAUUGACCUCCUGCAGAGUCCAAGGAUGCAGUUCAUCCAUCGUGAUCCGAGGGGCUGGAUCAUUGUGAAUGUGACCCUUCAGUUUUACACCAACCCACUCGAGUGGGGUUGCUAAUCUAAAUUGAAAAGGUAAAGUGAAGAUUGUCAGCAGGAUGGAAGGGAUUUAACAAGUGUGAUUGAGGUAAUCAAAAUGAAAACAGGAGUGUCAAUCUACAACAACAAAGUGUUCUGGAGGGGUCACUCUCAUGGUUCAUUCCAUACAGGAAUUCACAGACCCCCUGGGAGUGCCAUCAAAUAAACUUUUACACCAAGCCUUAAAGGAAAUAUUGGAGGAGAUGACCAAAGGCCUGGUUAAAGAGGUAGGUUUUAAGGAACAUCUUAAAAAAAGAAAAAACAGAGACAGGUGGUUAGGAAAGGUAUUCCACAGCUUAGAGUCUUGCAUUGGCCUUUUUUGGUCCUAUUAAAUUAAAAACUGAACUGCUGGAGAAGGUCACAUUUCAGGACAAGACCAAAUUCCUGCAUCAGGUUGUUCUUUGCUUCAGCUUUCAGAAUCUGCAGUCUUUUGUGUUUCCAUUGGUCCAAUUAAACUUGGGAAUGAUUAAGAAACAACUCUGGAGGAGUAUUAUAAAGCUGGGGAGAAUUCAGUGCUAGGGAGAGAUUUAAAAUUAAGUUGCUGCUUAAUAGAUCAGCAAAUACAGGCUUGAAUGAUGAACAGUUAUGGGCUAGAUUAAAAACACAUGGAAUGAAAAUGUUGAGACGAAUUCUCACUUAAUGUUCUUGAGUGGUGCUAGCUCAUCACAAAGUAAGGUUACUAGUAUUCUACUGCAGUCUCAGCAGUUCAGCAUUAAUAGGAUUUUCUGUUUUUAUUUCAGAUUUCCAGCAUCAGCAAUAUUUUGUUUUUGUACAACCAGUGUCCAGAAUUUCUCUGCAUAAUAGAAUUAAUUGCUUUUUUAAAUGCAAGGUUAAAUUGUGCCUAGAAUUUUAAAAAAUAUGCCUUGGAGCAAUUGGAACCAAGAAAGCAAAG